AACGAACGCUGGCGGCAUGCCUAACACAUGCAAGUCGAACGAGACCUCCGGGUCUAGUGGCGCUCCUCUGCGUACCGCGUGGUAACCUGCACUUAGGUAACGUAUCCCUCCCUGAAAGGGGUGCUAAUACCGGUUAAUCUCAUAGGACAAAAGAUCUCUCGCUUUUGGGUGGGCCCGGGUUGGAUUAGCGAGUUGGUAGGGUAAUAGCCUACCAAGGAGAGGAUGCAUGGCUGGUCUGAGAGGAGGAUUAGCCGGACUGGGACUGAGACACGGCCCAGACUCCGACGGAAGGCAGCAGUGGGGAAUAUUGUACAAUGGGGGAAAGCCUGAUCCAGCAAUGCCGCGUGAGUGAUGAAGGCCGUAGGGUUGUAAAGCUCUUUUACCCGGGAUGAUAAUGACAGUACCGGGAGAAGAAGCUCCGGCUAACUCCGUG
rnacentral:rRNA from 1 species